GUCUAUGGCCAUACCACCCUGAAUGUGAUGAGCUCAUCUGAUCUCGGAAGCUAAGUAGGGCUGGGCCUGGUUAGUACUUGGAUGGGAGACAGACC
rnacentral:rRNA from 1 species